rnacentral:lncRNA from 1 species
AAUUUUGGAGCUUUGGAAUUGUUUUGGGAAAGAAAAUAGACAAGACAAGAAAAGAAAGAAAAAAAUAGAAACAAAUGAGAAAAAUAAAAUUUUAUCGAGAUUGUACCCAAAUCAAAUUUAAUGUGCAAUUAAAGGAAGUAUAAUAUUAGGAAGUGACUCUUAGGUCGUCUCUCAAGGGCGAAUGUGGUUCAAGAAUUGGG